rnacentral:rRNA from 1 species
AGCGGCGGACGGGUGAGUAACACGUGGGUAACCUGCCUCAAAGUGGGGGAUAGCCUUCCGAAAGGAAGAUUAAUACCGCAUAAGCCUACAGUGCCGCAUGGCACAGCAGGAAAAGGAGCAAUCCGCUUUGAGAUGGACCCGCGGCGCAUUAGCUAGUUGGUGAGGUAACGGCUCACCAAGGCCACGAUGCGUAGCCGACCUGAGAGGGUGAUCGGCCACAUUGGAACUGAGACACGGUCCAGACUCCUACGGGAGGCAGCAGUGGGGAAUAUUGCACAAUGGGCGAAAGCCUGAUGCAGCAACGCCGCGUGAGUGAUGAAGGCCUUCGGGUCGUAAAGCUCUUUGAUCAGGGAUGAUAAUGACAGUACCUGAAAAACAAGCCACGGCUAACUACGUGCCAGCAGCCGCGGUAAUACGUAGGUGGCGAGCGUUGUCCGGAAUUACUGGGCGUAAAGGAUGCGUAGGUGGAUACUUAAGUGGGAUGUGAAAUCCCCGGGCUCAACCCGGGAACUGCAUUCCAAACUGGGUAUCUAGAGUGCAGGAGAGGAAAGCGGAAUUCCUAGUGUAGCGGUGAAAUGCGUAGAUAUUAGGAGGAACACCAGUGGCGAAGGCGGCUUUCUGGACUGUAACUGACACUGAGGCAUGAAAGCGUGGGUAGCAAACAGGAUUAGAUACCCUGGUAGUCCACGCC